rfam:uncultured archaeon A07HR60 genomic scaffold scf7180000001784, whole genome shotgun sequence.
CGGUAACUCCGAGUCCUGAAGAGGAUAGGAGUAACGGCUGUUUGGCCCAGCCAUCGGUACAGUUGUUCGACAAAUCAACGGGGAGAGUGGCCCCACAAGAACAGGUGGUUCCGUGAACCACAAUAUCCCAAUCCAGCGGUGCGGUGCCGUGGGAAUCCCACGGCUUUAGCCGUGGGA